rnacentral:rRNA from 1 species
CCCUUAGAUGUUCUGGGCCGCACGCGCGCUACACUGAUGCAUUCAACGAGUCUAAAACCUGCUCUGAUAGGGGUGGGUAAUCUUUUGAAUGUGCAUCGUGAUUGGGAUAGAUGAUUGCAAUUUUUCAUCUUCAACGAGGAAUGCCUAGUAAACGCAAGUCAUCAGCUUGCAUUGAUUACGUCCCUGCCCUUUGUACACACCGCCCGUCGCACCUACCGAUUGAAUGUUUCGGUGAAGAUUCCGGAUAGGACUGAUUUGAUUUAUUUCAUUUCUGACCUAAAAGCUAUCUAAACCUCAACAUUUAGAGGAAGGUGAAGUCGUAACA